rnacentral:lncRNA from 1 species
UAAAAGCUGCUGCUGAACACAUUAUUGCCAAUUUCUGCAGAAUUUCAGGCUUAAUCUCUCCCAGUGUAGCUUCAAGUUGACUCAAGUUGUAAUUUUAUAGCAGACCUAUGUCUAAGUUACCUGUAAAGUGAUUAAAUUUGACCUUUUAAGAACAUGUAUAUUAUCUUAGAAAAUCAUUCUAUGCUCAGAAUUCCAAGUCCAAACUUCAGUGAAAUUGUUGCAAUUGUUGAGCUUUGGCAGUAAUUUUAGGGGGGCAAACCUUUCACAUCUGACUUCGUAAUGAAGACUGUGAUACUGUAGCUGACUUACAAUUUCUCAGGUCUAUUGUUGGCUAGAAAACCCUUAAACCCCUCGCUGGAAUCGUGCAUCUGAAGCUAGGAUUCCUGGGUGUAAUGUUCUUCCUGUUAAGCAUAAACCUUUGCAUGGGUUUUGACUAGGAUGUGCUUUAAAAAUCCUUGGAUUGGGAACUUCAGACGUCUGGCAGGAAGUACUGGUGCAGGCACAAGUCCAGCGGCGAGGCGUAGUGAAUGACACAGUACACUGUUUCACUCUAUUGCAUUGUAACUACGCGAUGUCUUGGAGCCGUGGCAAACACAGAGCACUAUGAUACGGUCCUCUUGAAAUUCUGAUGUGGGAAGGGGAGCAAGCUAAACUUGUUUAUCUUAUCUUCACAAACCAGAUGUGACAUGUAGGUACCUUACCUUUUCUUGAAGCGCUUUAAUAUAUCACUGGUUUAUGACCUCCUGCAGUGUGCCUCCUCGUGAUCAGUAAGGAUUUGGUGAUGGAUAGAAGUACUUGCAGACCAAAGUGCCUCCUCGUGUUCUGUCCUACAGCAUUUUCAGUGGCCUUAUGCAAAUAUGUGUUCCCAGCAGAGGCCUUGUGUAGCUGACACCGUGAAGAUGAAUGUGUUUUCUGAAAAAAGGACAUCACAGCAGAAUACACUUCAGCUGAUGAGGUUCUUUCUGAGACUUUCCAGUUGGGUCUAGCAAUCCUAAGUGUACUUGAGCCAAACAUGUUGCAUAGCGUACUGUAGAGUGCUGCUUGUGACUAAUAAUAAUUUACCAAAAGUUCCAUUGUAGUUUUUUUUUUAAGGGUAGGGGUGAGGUAUUACUGUUGCCGUGUGAUUACAAAAUAAGAAAAAAAAAAAUGCUUCUUGCCUAGAAAUCCUCAUACACCGUGCAGUGUGCUACUAAGUAAGAGUAAGCUUGCCAACAUGUGUUCUUAAAAAGUAGUGCUGCUCCAAGUCUUUCCCCAGGCUGUAGUUCCACUUAGUCUGCCCAGCUUGCCACUUUGCCCCGUGGAACCUGCACAUUCCUGUGGAUCGUGAUGCUGGCCAAUGUGUUCUUACAAUGAAUUUUUAUCAGCAUACCACGUAUGUGGCAAGAGGUGUGAUGUAAUGUUCUCACUGCUUGGAGCAGCGUCUCUGCAGACAGCUUAUCCAACUGCAUCUGCUCGUGAUGUUUAGGAGCAGCUCACUGCUUAACGACAGAACUAUGCAUGUUUAACGUGUCCGUUGCCAUCGGAAGACUUCCCUAGUUGUUCUCUUCAAGGUCAGUUGCAGAUUGUUCAUUUUCCAACAGUAGCAUUUCCUGCUUCAAAACGAUCAGAAGUUUCAUGCCAUACUGAGAUGUUCAUGAAUUAACUUUACAGGUCUUGUCUGUUUGAUGGUACCAUUAACAUAGUUGUUUUUUUUAAUUAUACAGCAUUGCAAUACAGUGCCAUUUUGCAAUUUCUUUGCAUUGUACUUGAAAAUAAGUUGAAUUGCAGACUAUUUAAAACCGCUUUCCUGCGCUUUCAGUAGCAGUGAGAGCUUACCUUAAGUGAAG